ACUAUGGGUGUGUGUAUAUAGACAUGCAGGCAGCAGUUUGGGCGAGAGAGAGGCCAACAACAAGAACCCGGAGAAGGAGAAAUGAACUUUUUCUUUUCAAGUGAGGGUGAUGGACACCACCACAGGGUGGCAGUGAGGAACAACAGGCUGCAAGGAGGAAAUGGAGAGGCUGAUGGUAGUAAAAACAAGGUUCAUCAACGCAUCAAGGUGUCAACUGCAACUUGAGAGAAGCAGAAGAAGAAGAAGAAGAGAAAACAAGCCAACUCCUCCUUUCCUCUUCGCUUCCCCUCUCUCUCUCUCUGCGGCCAUUGUGAAAGAGGAAGGAAUUUUUCGUGAUAAUAUGUUCCAGCAGGAGCUACAGAAGCACGAAAAACAAGAGACCACCCAGCAAGUUGAAGAAUAUUUUUGACUUGCCGAGUACAUUAUACAGAUCCCUGUUAGACCCGGAUAGAUCUACCGAGAGUCCCGUGUAUACAACGAAUAUAAAUACAUACUUGCAUAAUCA